rnacentral:rRNA from 1 species
CGGGUAGUCCAGCUGUAACGAUGCAGACUCGGUGAUGCAUUGGCUUGUGGCCAAUGCAGUGCCGCAGGGAAGCCGUUAAGUCUGCCGCCUGGGAAGUACGUACGCAAGUAUGAAACUUAAAGGAAUUGGCGGGGGAGCACCACAAGGGGUGAAGCCUGCGGUUCAAUUGGAGU